AGAGUUGAUCAUGGCUCAGGAUGAACGCUAGCGACAGGCUAACACAUGCAAGUCGAGGGGCAGCACGGGAGUAGCAAUACAACUGGUGGCGACCGGCGCACGGGUGAGUAACGCGUAUGCAACCUACCUAUCAGGAGGGGAAUAACCCGGCGAAAGUCGGACUAAUACCGCAUAAAACAGGGGCACCGCAUGGUGAUAUUUGUUAAAGAAAUUCGCUGAUAGAUGGGCAUGCGUUCCAUUAGGUAGUUGGUGAGGUAACGGCUCACCAAGCCGACGAUGGAUAGGGGAACUGAGAGGUUGGUCCCCCACACUGGUACUGAGACACGGACCAGACUCCUACGGGAGGCAGCAGUGAGGAAUAUUGGUCAAUGGGCGAGAGCCUGAACCAGCCAAGUCGCGUGAAGGAAGAAGGAUCUAUGGUUCGUAAACUUCUUUGCAGGGGAAUAAAGUGCAGGACGUGUCCUGUUUUGUAUGUACCCUGAGAAUAAGGAUCGGCUAACUCCGUGCCAGCCGCCGC
rnacentral:rRNA from 1 species